rnacentral:rRNA from 1 species
GCACUGCUAUAAAUAUAGAUAUUGUUAUUCACCUACAUAUUCGCCAGGGUACUACAAACGCAAGCUUCAAACCCAAAGGACUUGGCGGUGCUUUAUAACCAUCUAGAGGAGCCUGUUCUAGAACCGAUAAUCCUCGUUAAACCUCACCUUAUCUUGCUUUUUUACCGCCUAUAUACCGCCGUCGUCAGCUUACCCUGUGAAGGACUUGAAGUAAGCAAAAUUAGUACUACUCAAAAUGUCAGGUCGAGGUGUAGUUUAUGAUAAGGGAAGAAAUGGGCUACAUUCAUCAAUAGAUGCACACGGAGUAUUAUUUGAAAUAAUAGUAUGAAGGAGGAUUUAGCAGUAAGAAGAAAAUAGAGUGUUCUUCUGAACAUGGCACUAAAGCACG